GAUGAACGCUGGCGGCGUGCCUAAUACAUGCAAGUCGAGCGAACAGAUGAGGAGCUUGCUCCUCUGACGUUAGCGGCGGACGGGUGAGUAACACGUGGAUAACCUACCUAUAAGACUGGGAUAACUUCGGGAAACCGGAGCUAAUACCGGAUAAUAUAUUGAACCGCAUGGUUCAAUAGUGAAAGACGGUUUUGCUGUCACUUAUAGAUGGAUCCGCGCCGCAUUAGAUGGUUGGUAAGGUAACGGCUUACCAAGGCAACGAUGCGUAGCCGACGUAAGAGGGUGAUCGGCCACAUUGGAACUGGGACACGGUCCAGACUCCUACGGGAGGCAGCAGUAGGGAAUCUUCCGCAAUGGGGGAAAGCCUGGCGGAGCAACGCCGCGUGAGUGAUGACGGUCUUCGGAUCGGAAAACUCUGUUAUUAGGGAAGAACAAAUGUGUAAGUAACUGUGCACGUCUUGACGGUACCUAAUCAGAAAGCCACGGCUAACUACGUG
rnacentral:rRNA from 1 species